rnacentral:rRNA from 1 species
CCUACGUGGUGCAGCAGUCGAGAAUCAUUCACAAUGGGGGAAACCCUGAUGGUGCGACGCCGCGUGGGGGAAUGAAGGUCUUCGGCUUGUAAACCCCUGUCAUGUAGGAGCAAAUUAAAGAGAUAGUCCCACCAGAGGAAGAGACGGCUAACUCUGUGCCAGCCGCCGAGGUAAUACACAGUUUUCAAGCGUUGUUGGGAAUCACUGGGCGUAAAGCGUGCGUAGGCAGUUUCAUGAGUCGUGUGUGAAAUGAGCGGGCUCAACGCGCGGACGGCACAUGAUACUGCGAGAAGAGCGUAAUGGAGGGGGAACCGGAAUUCUCGGUGUAGCAGUGAAAUGCGUAG